AUGACUAUCGCAUUUGGCUUAUUUAUAUCUUGAAGUCAUCAUGGCUGAAAGUAGGCAUAUAUACGAUUUUGGCUCAUUGAUUCAAGACAGUUAAACCAGCGAGAUUUCUUCUGUAAGAAAGGAUUAUGAAGCAAAAGUCUCUGCUGCCAUUCCGACUAAAACAGACCUGUUUCGAAAAGGAAAGCUGGCGAGAGAUCUUAACGCAGAGUUGAAUAUCCCUAACCAUAUGGGAGAUAAUUGGCGGGCUUUAAAAACUAGAGGUGAUGGUAACUGCGUGAAAAUUUCUUUGCUAUAUCUACGUAUCUUUUUCUGCUCUUGGAGGAGUGAUAUUAUCAAUGAAAGAAGAGAAUAACAUUUAUCAUUACUUGUUGCCUGCUUUUGGUACGAUGAUUACAUCGUGAACAUUUCUUUGCUAUAUCUACGUAUCUUUUUCUGCUCUUGGAGGAGUGGUAUUAUCAACGAAAGAAGAAGAAUAACAUUUAUUACUACUUGUUGCCUGCCUUAAGUACGAUGAUCACAUCGUGAACAUUUCUUUGCUAUGUCUACGUAUCGUUUUCUGCUGUUGGACGAGUGGUAUUAUCAACAAAAGAAGAAGAAUAAGAUUUAUCAUUACUUGUUGCCUGCCUUUGGUACGAUGAUUACAUCGUGAACAUUUCUUUGCUAUGUCUACGUAUCUUUUCUGUUGUUGGACGAGUGGUAUCAAGUGUGAUUAAUGGUCAAAAACUUGUGCUUCAUUUGUGAGAUAUAAAAGGUUUCUUUGCGUUUCACGACAAAAAAUAUGCCAAGCUUCUACCUUUUCAAAAUCACUCGUGGAUUGUUAUGAUACCUUCAUGAUUGUAAGUUUUGGCGAAGGUAUGAAACUUGAUAAAUCAAAUAGUAGUAAUGAAAAUGUUUAAAGGUUAAUGGAAUUUUAGAUUUUAUAGCUAUCAUUGAAAUUUGCGAAAAGUUUACAAACUAAGUAAAGCCAAGUUUUUUUUAAA